GCUUGUACCCAUUAGAGUAGCAACAAGAGCUGACCAAACUGUGUAUGUGUAUGGGCAAGCGAAGAAUAGGUGAUCCCUAAAUUUGUUCCUUUCUCCACAAAAUACACAUGUCUGAGUAAUGCCCCAGUUCUUCAUACGAACCCCUGUAGAAAGUCUGUCUUGAGCUGCUAACCAGACAAUAAAAGAGUGUCUUGGAAUCGCCUGCAGAAACCACACCAGACGGUAUCAAUGAACCCCUUGCUUCUUCACACGGAUACUCUCCCAUGUUUUUGUAGCAGAAAACUGAUCAUUAUACUCAUCUUUACCACGCUUCCAUAGGAUCUGUUCAGGGCCGUAUUCCUGGGGCUUGUAGUGCUUCAAUCCGAUCGUACAAGUCAUGAUAAACUCGCCUACCCCUACUGCGCAUACUCCAACAAGUACCCAAAACUGCCUCAGAAACCGUAGCAGUGCGAGGAACACCAAAAUACCGCGGUCCAUACUCUCCAGUUUUUUCAAUUAAUCUCCC
rnacentral:lncRNA from 1 species